AUUGAACGCUGGCGGUAUGCUUAACACAUGCAAGUCGAACGGUAACAGCGAGAGCUUGCUCUCGGCUGACGAGUGGCGGACGGGUGGGUAACGCGUGGGAAUCUGCCUAGUAGUGGGGGAUAACUCCGGAAACCGGGGCUAAUACCGCAUACACCCUACGGGGAAAAGCGGGGGAUCUUCGGACCUCGCGCUAUUAGAUGAGCCCGCGUCCGAUUAGCUUGUUGGUAGGGUAAAAGCCUACCAAGGCGACGAUCGGUAGCUGGUCUGAGAGGACGAUCAGCCACACUGGGACUGAGACACGGCCCAG
rnacentral:rRNA from 1 species